CAUUUGGGGGUGGGACUUAAAAGCCACUGAGCAAGCACAGCAUUGUUUUCUUGAGAAGCUGUGCCACGUACAACCAGGAAAGGGCUUGGAGGUGUUCCACCCCAAUCCAGUAGAGGUUUCAUGGUACAGCAUCUUAGCUUGGAAGAAGAGGAGAGGGCAACUAGACAUCUCUUGAGGAUCAAGAACAAGGAUCUGGCACCUAGUGGAUUCCUGGUAGGCAUUCAAUAAUGUUUACUGAAGGAAGAAAUUGAAACUCCAGAAGAAGGAGGCAGAGAAACUGGUUAAAUUACUCCUGUCCCAACUGGAAAGCUUCUUAUCUGUCAUAACCUUGUAAAGAUUUCUUUUAUAUUAAAAUAAAGGCAGCUUAAGUAA